rnacentral:rRNA from 1 species
AGAGUUUGAUCCUGGCUCAGGAUGAACGCUGGCGGCGUGCCUAAUACAUGCAAGUCGAGCGAACAGAUAAGGAGCUUGCUCCUUUGACGUUAGCGGCGGACGGGUGAGUAACACGUGGAUAACCUACCUAUAAGACUGGGAUAACUUCGGGAAACCGGAGCUAAUACCGGAUAACAUAUUGAACCGCAUGGUUCAAUAGUGAAAGGCGGCUUUGCUGUCACUUAUAGAUGGAUCCGCGCCGUAUUAGCUAGUUGGUAAGGUAACGGCUUACCAAGGCAACGAUACGUAGCCGACCUGAGAGGGUGAUCGGCCACACUGGAACUGAGACACGGUCCAGACUCCUACGGGAGGCAGCAGUAGGGAAUCUUCCGCAAUGGGCGAAAGCCUGACGGAGCAACGCCGCGUGAGUGAUGAAGGUCUUCGGAUCGUAAAACUCUGUUAUCAGG